GGCGUAGGCCGAUGGGAACACAGCGCCAAAAAAACAGUGAGUCACACAUGCCAUCAGGCAAGCCAGCGCCCAUCCACAGAUGUACUGAGCACAGAACAGAUGCGAGCCAGUGGACGGGUCACAGGGAGCAUGUUGAGCAUGAUGAGAGAAUGACCUCCAUUGCUGAUUACUACUAAAGAAUAGGAGAAUAUUUGAUGAAAUGGAGGAACAAAGAGGCAACCUCUGCAGGUCAUUACUGCGACAAGAACUUAAUACUAAAGGAUUAGAAUGAAAGCGAGGGGUGGAUGCGAUGAGAUUUAAUAGGAGAAGACAAAGAUGCGGAACAUUAGCAGGCCUCGGUAAGGAAUGCACGGGUCGAUGCAGCAUGUGUGACUUAUGUAACAUUUAUCCAUCCAUUCAUUUUCUUCCGCUUAUCCGAAGUCGGGUCGCGGGGGCAGCAGCAUAAGCAGUGAAACCCAGACUUCCCUCUCCCCAGCCACUUUGUCCCGCUCUUUCUAGGGAUCCCGAGGUGUUACCAGGCCAGCCGGGAGACAGUCUUCCCAACGUGUCCUGGGUCUUCCCCUUGGCCUCCUGCCGGUAGGACGUGCCCCAAAAACCUCCCUAGUGAGACGUUCGGGUGGCAUCCUGAGCAGAUGCCCAAACCACCUCAUUUGGCUCCUCUUGAUGUGGAGUAGCAGCAGCUUUACUCUGAGUUCAUCCCAGAUGACAGAGCUUCUCACCCUAUCUCCAAGGGAGAGACCCGCCACCCGGCGGAGAAGAGUCAUUUUGGCCGCUUGUACCCGUUAUGUUGUCCUUUCGGUCAUAACCCACAGCUCAUGACCAUAGGUGAGGAUGGGAACGUAGAUCGACCAUUAAAUUGAGAGCUUUGCCUUCUCGUUCCGCUCUUUCUUCACCACAACGGAUCGAUACGGCGUCCGCAUUACUGAAGACCUCGUACCGAUCCGGCUGUUGAUCUCACAAUCCACUUUUCCCCCACUCAUGAGCAAGACUCCUAGGUACUUGCAAUCCUCCACUUGGGGCAAGAUCUCCUCCCCAACUUGGAGAUUGCACUCCACCCUUUCCCGGUCGAGAACCAUGAACUUGGACUUGGAGGUUGUGAUUCUCAUCCUCGUCGCUUCACACUCGGCUGCGAACCGAUCCAGUGAGAGCUGAAGAUCCUGGCCAGGUGAAGCCAUCAGGAUCACAUCAUCCGCAAAAAGCAGAGACCUAAUCCUGCAGCCACCAAACCGGAUCCCCUCAACUCCCUGACUGCGCCUAGAAAUUAUUUCAUAAAAGUUAUACACAGAAUCGGUGACAAAGGGCAGCCUUGGCAGAGUCCAACCCUCACUGGAAAUGGGUCCGACUUACUGCCGGCAAUGCGGACCAAGCUCUGACACUGAUCGUACAGGGAGCGGACUGCCACAAUCAGACGGUCCGAUACCCCAUACUCUCUGAGCACUCCCCACAGGACUUCCCGGGGGGCACGGUCAAAUGCCUUCUCCAAGUUCACAAAUUACAUGUAGACUGGUUGGGAAAACUUCCAUGCACCCUCAAGGACCCGGCCGAGAGUAUAGAGCUGGUCUUCCAUUCAAAGACAAGGAUGAAAACCACACUGUUCCUCCUGGAUCCGAGGUCCGACUAUCCGGUGUAGCCUCCUCUCCAGUACACCUGAAUAGACCUUACCGGGAAGGAUGAGGAGUGUGAUCCCACCAUUGUUGGAAGCACCACCCCGGUCUGCCAAUCCAGAAGUACCGCCUCCGAUGUCCACGCGAUGUUGCAGUCAACCAAGACAGCCCCACAGCAUCCAGAGCCUUAAGGAACUCUGGGUCGAUCUCAUCCACCCCCGGGGCCUUGCCAGCAAGGCGCUUUUUAACUACCUCGGCAACCUCAGCCCCAGAAAUAGGAGAGCCCACCACAGAUUCCCCAAGUACUGCUUCCUCACAGAAAGAUGUGUUGGUGGGAUUGAGGAGGUCUUCGAAGUAUUCCUUCCACCCAUCCGCAAGAGCUGCAGUAGAGGUCAGCAGCACACCAUCCUCACCAUAUGCAUUGUUGACAGUACACUGGUUCCCACUCCCGAGGCGGUGGACGAUGGACCAAAAUCGCUUCGAAGCCGUACGGAAGUCGUUUACCAUGGCUUCCCAAAACUCAUCCCAUGUUCGAGUUUUUGCCUCCACAACCAUUGAGGCCGCACUUCGCUUGGCCUGUCGGUACCUCUCCGCUGCCUCUGGAGUCCCAUGAGCCAAAAGGACCCGAUAGGACUCUUUCUUCAGCUGGACGGCGUUCCCCAAUGCUGGUGUUCACCAACGGGUUCUAGGAUUACCGCCACGACAGGUACCAACCACCUUGCGGCCACAGCUCCAAUCAGCCGCCUCGACAAUAGAUACACGGAAGGUCCACUCAGACUCAAUAUCCAGUGCCUCCCUCGUGACAUGUUCAAAGUUCUUCCAGGGGUGGGAAUUGAAACUCUCUCUGACAGGAGACUCUGCUCGACGUUCCCAGCAGACCCUCACAAUGCGUUUGGGCCUGCCAGGUCUGUCCGACAUUCUCCCCCACCAUCGGAGCCAGCUCACCACCACGUGGUGAUUAGUAAAAAGCUCUGCCCCUCUCUUCACCCGAGUGUCCAAAAUACGAGGCCGCAAAUCCGAUGACACAACUACAAAGUCAAUCAUGGAACUGCAUCCGAGGGUGUCUCGGUGCCAAGUGCAAUUAUGGACACCCUUAUGUUUGAACAUUGUGUGUUAUGGACAAUCCAUGACGAGCACAAAAGUCCAAUAACAAAGCACCACUUGGGUUCAGAUCCGGGCAGCCAUUCCUCCCAAUCACGCCUCUACAGGUUUCACUGUCGUUGCCAACAUGAGCGUUGAAGGCCCCCACCAGAACAAGGGAAUCACCCGAGGGAGCACUAUCCAGUACUCCCUGAAGGGAAUCCAAAAAAGAGUGGGUACUCUGAGCUGCUGUUUGGUGCGUAAGCACAAACAACAGUCAAGACCCGUCGCCCCACCCGAAGGCGGAGGGAAGCUACCCUCUCGUCUACUGGGUUAAAGUCCAACGUGCAGGCUUUGAGCUUGGGGGGCAACAAGAAUUGCCACCCCAGCCCGUCGCCUCUCAUUGCUUGCAAUGUCAGAGUGGAAAAUAGUCCAGACCCUCUCGAGAAAACUGGUUCCAGAGCCCUUGCUGUACGCCGAAGUGAGUCCGACUACAUCUAGCUGGAACUUCACCAGCUCGCGCAUCAGCUCAGGCUCCUUCCCUCCCAGCGAGGUGACGUUCCACGUCCCAAGAACUAGCUUAUGUAACCGAGGAUCGGACCGCCAAGUGCCCUGCUUUGGGCUGCCGCACAGCUCACACUGCAACCGACCUAUAUAACCCCUCCUAUGAGUGGUGAGCCCAUUGGAAAGGGUACCCAUGUUGCCUCUUUGGGCUAAACCCCGCCGAGCCCGGCACACCAGGCGCUCACCAUUGUAACCCACCUCCGGGCCUGGGUCCAGAGGGGAGCACCGGUGACCCGCGUCCUGGCGAGGGAAAUCUAGGUCCUCGAGUUGUACUUUUCAUUAAAGUCUUUGAGCUGCUCUUUGUCUGAUCCCUCACCCAGGACCUGUUUGUCUUGGGAGACCCUAUCAGGGGGAUUAGAUGCCCCCGGACAACAUAGCUCCUAGGAUCAUUGGGACACGCAAACUCCUCUACCACGAUAAGGUGGCAGCUUAAAAAAGAGACUUAUGUAACUUAUGUAACAGCGGGACGUAAUGAUGAUGUUGCCUCUCAGAGCCUAGAAAAUGUCUCUCUCUAAAGUCCCCCAAUUGGACUGCGGCGCCGACACACGCACCUGAAGCUCCGCAGUCGCAGCACAGUUCGUUGCCCGGCAUGCGGAGUACAUCCUCAAUGAUGGCUUUGGUCAGGUCCUCCAGGCCGUCCUCGCUGCCGCUGGUCUGCUCGCCACGGAACGCCAUAUUCAAAGCCUCCUCCUUGCUGUUGGUCAACACCGAUAUCCAGCUACACACGGACGUAGAGAAAGAUAUGAAGAGCUUUCCGGCAUCCACCUGGAAAUGAAACAGCAAAAGAGUGGCGACGGCGCUUGCAGCGUACGCACAUCCAGAGAUGAGUCACCCAGGAGCAGCAGGCCGAAGGAGGAGGGGCACGUGAGGAGACGGGGUUGCCAUGGCGACCAAUCUAUGUCAAUUCCACCCUGCUGCCAGCUUCCAGAUUGAGAUAGAGAGAACGCGGCAUGGCCUCCCAGCGCGUUGUUCUCAUGCUCAUCCCGACAGUCGCAUCGGUGGAGAAAACUACCUCUCAUUCAGCGGGUCCUCUUCCAAGAGCACAACACACACACGGACCCUCCCCUCAUCACCUCCCUUCUGCCCCUCGGUCUGCACCCUUCUCUCUUUUUGUGAACGGCUCCUUUGCCAAUAUUAAUAUACUGUAAGUGGGUUUUACCUUUUUAAAAGUUUAUUAUUUUUGCAAUAUGAUUGUGAAAGUUAAGGAUAUUUGGGAUUUCUGACCGUAUGUGAGGGCACCAAAGACACUUCUGCGUGUGUGCAUGUGUUGGCAGGAGUUUAGCUUGUCGUUGUUUUGGCUUGUCAAUAAAGAAAU